rnacentral:rRNA from 1 species
GACGAACGCUGGCGGCGUGCCUAACACAUGCAAGUCGAGCGAACGGACGAGAAGCUUGCGUCGCUGAUGUUAGCGGAGGAGGGGAGAGAAACACGUGGAUAACCUACCUAUAAGACUGGGAUAACUUCGGGAAACCGGAGCUAAUACCGGAUAAUAUUUUGAACCGCAUGGGGCAAAAGUGAGAUACGGUCUUGCUGGCAGUUAUAGAUGGAUCCGCGCUGCAUUAGCUAGUUGGUAAGGUAACGGCUUACCAAGGCAAGUAGGCAUAGCCGACCUGAGAGCGUGGUCGCCCACCCGGGAGCGGAGCCGGGGUCCAGACUCCUGCGGGACGCACCAGUCUCGAAUCUUACGCAAUGGGGGAGAGCCUUACAGAGCAACCCCGCGUCAGUGAUGAAGGUCCCCCGUGCGGAAAGCUCUGUUAUUAGUGGAGAACAUAUGUGUAAGUAGCCGUGCACAUCUUGACGGUACCGGAUCAGAAAGCCACGGCUAACUACGUG